rnacentral:rRNA from 1 species
CGUGCAGGCGGUUUCGUAAGUCGGACGUGAAAGCUCCUGGCUUAACUGGGAGAGGCCGUUCGAUACUGCGAGACUUGAGGUUGGGAGAGGGACGUGGAAUUCCCGGUGUAGUGGUGGAAUGCGUAGAUAUCGGGAGGAACACCAGUGGCGAAGGCGGCGUCCUGGCCCACACCUGACGCUGAGACGCGAAAGCGUGGGUAGCGAACG